rnacentral:rRNA from 1 species
CCGAUCGAGCUAACUGCAGUCGACGGUAGCACAGAGAGCUUGCUCUCGGGUGACGAGUGGCGGACGGGUGAGUAAUGUCUGGGAAACUGCCUGAUGGAGGGGGAUAACUACUGGAAACGGUAGCUAAUACCGCAUAACGUCGCAAGACCAAAGAGGGGGACCUUCGGGCCUCUUGCCAUCAGAUGUGCCCAGAUGGGAUUAGCUAGUAGGUGGGGUAACGGCUCACCUAGGCGACGAUCCCUAGCUGGUCUGAGAGGAUGACCAGCCACACUGGAACUGAGACACGGUCCAGACUCCUACGGGAGGCAGCAGUGGGGAAUAUUGCACAAUGGGCGCAAGCCUGAUGCAGCCAUGCCGCGUGUAUGAAGAAGGCCUUCGGGUUGUAAAGUACUUUCAGCGGGGAGGAAGGUGUUGUGGUUAAUAACCACAGCAAUUGACGUUACCCGCAGAAGAAGCACCGGCUAACUCCGUGCCAGCAGCCGCGGUAAUACGGAGGGUGCAAGCGUUAAUCGGAAUUACUGGGCGUAAAGCGCACGCAGGCGGUCUGUCAAGUCGGAUGUGAAAUCCCCCGGGCUCAACCUGGGAACUGCAUUCGAAACUGGCAGGCUAGAGUCCUUGUAGAGGGGGGUAGAAUUCCAGGUGUAGCGGUGAAAUGCGUAGAGAUCUGGAGGAAUACCGGUGGCGAAGGCGGCCCCCCUGGACAAAGACCUGACGCUCAGGUGCGAAAGCCUGGGGAGCAAACAGGAUUAGAUACCCUGGUAGUCCACGCCGUAAACGAUGUCGAUUUGGAGGUUGUGCCCCUGAGGCGUGGCUUCCGGAGCUAACGCGUUAAAAUCGACCCGGCCUGGGGAGCUACGGCCGCCAGGGUUAAAACUCAAAUGAAUUGACCGGGGGCCCGCACAAGCGGUGGAGCAUGU